CCUACGGGGGGCAGCAGUGGGGAAUAUUGCACAAUGGGGGAAACCCUGAUGCAGCGACGCCGCGUGCGUGAAGAAGUAAUUCGGUAUGUAAAGCUCUAUCAGCAGGGAAGAAAAUGACGGUACCUGAGUAAGAAGCCCCGGCUAAAUACGUGCCAGCAGCCGCGGUAAUACGUAGGGGGCAAGCGUUAUCCGGAUUUACUGGGUGUAAAGGGAGCGUAGACGGCAGAGCAAGUCUGGAGUGAAAGGCGGGGGCUUAACCCCCGCACUGCUGUGGAAACUGGACGGCUGGAGUGCAGGAGAGGUAAGUGGAAUUCGUAGUGUAGCGGUGAAAUGCGUAGAUAUUAGGAGGAACACCAGUGGCGAAGGCGGCUUACUGGACUGUAACUGACGCUGAGGCUCGAAAGCGUGGGGAGCAAACAGGAUUAGAUACCCGAGUAGUC
rnacentral:rRNA from 1 species